CUUGUUGUCUUCCCACUUCAAAGGCUUGGCUAAAGAAGGAGGAGGAGAGUAAUUGAUGAGCCCCCAUGCGUCCAAGAAAUCGAAGACUCGGCGGACUGAGCCGACGUCCGAGACGAGAGUCUUUCGGACGUCGNNGAAUGGGAGCGUCGGCGGACGAGCCCGCCGUCCGAGACGAGAGUCGUGCGGACGUCGGUGUAGGUGAUCUUAGAGGAAGGAUUCCGCCUGAACUGCUUGACGAUGGAGUUUCUGAGGUAGAGGUAGUGCUUAGGAGUAUUGGAAGGGGAGCGAGAAUCGAAGAACUCCGG
rnacentral:lncRNA from 1 species